AGGUGACUGUAUUCAGGCGACACCCACCCUUCUGGUACUUAUUUUAUUUCCAAAUGAUCACGAUGUUCAGCUCCAUGAGUUUUGUCACACGUCAAGUCACGUGGCCACCACCUGGCUGGGUAGUGAUGGGUACAUAAGCCUCCCAUCACCCCCAAACAUUUCCCCCGUCUGUUCACUCGGGUUGCACAGCACCCCUCUUGUGCCCCUGGCAACCACAGAUCUGUUCUCCGUCAUUCACAUUCUGUCUCCUCGAGAAUGUCACAAAAAUGGAAUGGUACACUGUGGGACAUUCCGGGACUCGGUCCACUCACCAAUGCAGCGCUUCCGGCACGCCUCCAAGCUGCUGUGUGUACCACUGCUCAGCCCCCUGCCUGCUGCUGUUAACUGGUACCAGCAUGGCAGCGUAACUGCCCUAAUGUCAAAGAUGUGGGCAAGGGUGGAACAAUCCUAUUAUGUGCCUGAGAAAGCAGCCGUGAUUUAUUUUAAAGAAUCCUGGAGGAGGUUCCAACUGCUUCCGUGUGAUCAACGUGGACACACUCGCAAUUCAACGGCCACCAUUCCUUCAGGCUGACUCAGCUGGUGGCUUCCCGAGAGCCCAAUCCCUCCAUGCCCCCUGGGUUUUUGUCCUGAAGAUUGGCAGAGUGACAAGUUCUGUUUCCCUGUGUUCUCUGGCGACAAGCACCAGCCUCUUCAGCAAGAUACCUGUGCAGGAAAAGGCAUGAGGGCAGAUAAAAUGCUCUGUGAUGUAGCAAAGCCACGUGGGAACAAUUGCUGCAGCUUACAAAGGGCAAGAAGAGUGCCAGAUGGAGCCCCAUCUAAGCCCCCCUCCCCCGCCAGCUGUUGGGCUCAGCUCAGGUAUAUGUUUACCUGCCUGAUGUGCCAAGGCACUGAGCUGCCCUACCUGGCCGGACCGUGGGCAGUAAGGAUGGUGACCACCAUGCCUGUCUGCCACUCGUCCUGGGAGUGACAUGGUCAUGUCUGCCCUGCACCCACACCUGUUUUCAGUGUGCCAAUCACACUAGCUGUGAGUACAGACAGCCCACUCUUGAACCAACUGUUCACCUACAGCUGGGCGUGUGCCAGGAGCCACAGGCUUUCUCUUCACUCUGAAGCCUGUGGUGACUCCAGAGUUGUGACCCCCUCUGUGGUUUGUGGCUGCUGCCUGGCACAGUCUCACCCUCCCCACCACAGCCCUCCUAAAGCACAGUUGAGCUAAUUCUGGGCUCCCUGCCACCCUUGCAAGCCCACGCUGCACUUGCUCUGACUCAUGCCGAGGUGCCCAGAAGCAAGCUCAGGAGAGACGCUGCAAGGCACCUGCUGGGCCCUGGGCAGCAGCUGGGACUCCAACCUCAGGCUCUUGAAGGAUCCAUAGUUAGCUCUGAGGUCUCCCAACGACCUUCACCCAAUCUCCGUGGAAGAUAAACCCAAAUGUCAAGUUCUGUAAGCUGCACAGACACCAACUUCAUAAUGUAGAUCCACUGAGACCCUGGAGUUAAAUGUUUGCUCUUUAUAAUCAAGACCCACUUCAGUGUGUGGCGAAAUCUUCUGACAUUGACAAAGUUCUCAGACACAAAAAGCAUUACACCAAAAAUGAAGAUUAUAGGUAUCUAAUGGUUCCAGCCAACCUGCUUCAAACGCUAUUUUCUGAACACCUAUUCAGGCUCUUUUCCUCCAUGUCUUUAAACUCAAAGCCAUCAACACCAGAGCCUCAGACUGUCGGGGGAAGAGGCCUACAUUCCUGGCCCACCUCUGACAGGUAAGAAUGGAAUACUAGAGGAGAGAGAAGCAGGGACAGCCACAUCUGUCCAGAGGUGACAGAGGAAAGACAGCCCAGAAGAGUCACCUCAGGGUGGCCUGUGGGUAGUUGGCUAGGGGAACAGGCCCUCUGGACAGACAGGACAUGGUUGUGAGGCCUAUGGUUCUGUUUGGAGAGUAAGGAGAAUUAAGGCUGGACCUGGGGGUUUGUGAGGGAAGGGAGGUUGGAGAUGGUUAAACGUGAACAUGUUGGCCAGGCUCUGAAGGGCUCAUAGGGCUGCCUCUGCAUAGGCGGGGCUAAAGGAAGGAUACAGGGAAGAACCAAAUGGCUAGAUUGGUAGCAUUUCACCAGCUGGCCCCUUGGUCCCUAAAGAUCACACCUCUCUGAAAGGACAAUCUAUGUCUUUAAGAGGCCUUGGAUAGCUGCAUGUUCAGAAAGGACAACCUUAAUAAACAGGUUAAGUUACUUAUGUACA
rnacentral:lncRNA from 1 species